UGGGGAAUAUUGGACAAUGGGCGAAAGCCUGAUCCAGCCAUGCCGCGUGUGUGAAGAAGGUCUUCGGAUUGUAAAGCACUUUAAGUUGGGAGGAAGGGCAGUAAGCGAAUACCUUGCUGUUUUGACGUUACCGACAGAAUAAGCACCGGCUAACUCUGUGCCAGCAGCCGCGGUAAUACAGAGGGUGCAAGCGUUAAUCGGAAUUACUGGGCGUAAAGCGCGCGUAGGUGGUUCGUUAAGUUGAAUGUGAAAGCCCCGGGCUCAACCUGGGAAGUGCAUCCAAAACUGGCGAGCUAGAGUAGGGCAGAAGGUGGUGGGAUUUCCUGUGUAGCGGUGGAAUGCGUAGAUAUAGGAAGGAACACCAGUGGCGAAGGCGACCGCCUGGGCUCAUACUAACACUGAAGUGCGAAAGCGUGGGGAGCAAACAGG
rnacentral:rRNA from 1 species